rnacentral:lncRNA from 1 species
UAUAGACUGCCUUGGCUGCCAAACUUCAAAUGAAGGCAUCUGAAAAUCUAGUUCCUUCAUAUCAUAUACUACUGAAGGUUUGUAACAAUUUUAGCUAGUCUGAAACUAUUAGACUUUUAAACUUUGUAUCUUUCUAUGUGUUUCUGUGCCUGGCUUUAAGAACCGCCAUGAUUUGGAAGGAUUUAAGUGAAUACAACCCAGUUGACUUUUAGAUGUAUUUUACACUUUAAAGUGAAAAUAAAGUUGUGAUGUUCUUUGGCAUCAGGGAGAACUUUUGCUACUUUCUCUACAAGGUGACGUUACUCCAGCUGUUCAAAGUCAGAAUCGUCACAAAGUGUAACAGCUUUCUUCAGAAUAAAUGACAUUCCCAUCUAUAGAUGAAUCACAGAAUUGUCUAGGUUGGAAGGGACCUUUAAGAUGAUGAUGAUGAAGACAGAAGCAUAUUUUAACCAUGUUCUCUUUGCUUAGUGUCACUUACCUCUCCUGCUUUAUGAUGGUGACAAUUACGAGAGUUAUGUCAUAUUCGGAUUCUCCAUGAGGUGCAGUCAAGUUCUGUGAAAAAGAUACAAAAAUGCCUGAAAGAGUUAAUUGGUGUGGAUGCUGAGCUUCGUCUGCACCACCCAGAGUUCUUCCAGAAGCUCUUCUGCUUGACACAGCAGCACCUGACAGUCCUGCAGAGCACAGGCCAAGGGCAACCCACCACUGAGAAUGACAACGGAAAGCCAUCAGGGAUGUCACUCCUCAAAGGACAACUCCUGUUGCUCCUCACAAGUCCUGAGAUGUCAGACAAGGGUUCCUCAGCACCAAGCCUUGCCUCCUCUGGAGCCACGCGAGCCCUUUGGGGUGUGAUUUCUGGGUCUCUGUUUCUUCAUAACCAGGUGACGGCGGUGCAGAAACGGGGUCUCUGCUUGCCAUGUUGGUGGGAGCUGUGGUGGAUCUCCAGCAGAGAAACCCCAGUGGAGGAAAGCAGCUCCUCAACAGCCAUCUGUCACCUAGCCAUGUGUGCACACUGCUUCAUGAGGAAGGCACAGCCACGGGCAGAUACUCGCUCAGCUUCUCCACCAUCUUCUGAAAGAAAGGGAACAGCACACAUGUGAAAACGGCCUGGAAAAAAAUGGUGUGGCUUCUGGAUGAGGAUUUAACAGAAGGCAAACUGGAGUAGUUAUGGAAAUGGGAAAAUGUUUAUAGGGUGGUCUGAAAUGAGGCCCUCAAAAAUGAUAGAAGAGACCUGCAGAUGUUUAUAUCACCAUAUGCUCGACCUCAUGAGUUCUGACAUUGUUUCUUGAUUACAUGUUCCCAUCCUGUCCCUCUACAAAACCUGUGACUGAGUGCAGCUGGGGCUGCCCUUGGGGGGGACGUGGAGGUGGAAGGUGACACGGCCACCUCCCCUCACCCCAAGAGCCAGGAAGAGGCAUGAGGAGCACGGCAGGGAUCUGCUGGAGGAGGGAACCAUCCAGGAAUCACACGGGAGAAUCACAGAAUCAUAGGAUUGUCUCAGUUGGAAGGGACCUUUCAGAUCAUGGAGUCCAACCAUCAACCCAACACUGACCAAACCACCCAUCGUCUGCCUGGAUUUUAAAUACCUCCAGGGUGCUGGGGGGCUCUCCCCACCCUGAGCUGGGGACGACAAAGGCAACUGGGAGGAAACCUUCUGCUCCUCCUGCUGGGACAGCCCGGUGCUGGGACAAAGCUGCCACCCAUUUCACUGGAAACACACA